ACACAUGCAAGUCGAACGAUGAACCUGGAGCUUGCUCUAGGGGAUUAGUGGCGAACGGGUGAGUAACACGUGAGUAACCUGCCCUUGACUCUGGGAUAACCUCCGGAAACGGAAGCUAAUACCGGAUAUGACGCACGGAGGCAUCUCCUGUGCGUGGAAAGAACUUCGUUCAAGGAUGACUCGCGGCCUAUCAGUUAGUUGGUGAGGUAACGGCCCACCAAGCUUACGACGGUAGCCGGCUUGAGAGGUGACCGGCCACACUGGACUGAGACACGGCCCAGACUCUUACGGGAGCCAGCAGUGGGAAUAUUGCACAAUGGGCGCAAGCCUGAUGCAGCAACGCCGCGUGAGGNCGCUUCGGUUUAACCUCUUUAUAGGAAGAAGCGAAAGUGACGGUACCUGCAGAAAAAGCACCGGCUAACUACGUGCCAGCAGCCGCGGUAAUACGUAGGUGCGAGCGUUGUCCGGAAUUAUUGGGCGUAAAGAGCUCGUAGGCGGUCUGUCGCGUCUGCUGUGAAAUCCCGAGGCUCAACCUCGGGCCUGCAGUGGUACGGGCAGACUAGAGUGCGGUAGGGGAGAAUGGAAUUCCUGGUGUAGCGGUGGAAUGCGCAGAUAUCAGGAGGAACACCGAUGGCGAAGGCAGUUCUCUGGGCCGUAACUGACGCUGAGGAGCGAAAGCGUGGGGAGCGAACAGGAUUAGAUACCC
rnacentral:rRNA from 1 species